GGGUACUUGGUGUAAUGGCAACAUCUCUGCUUUCCAAGCAGAGGCCGCUGGUUCGAUUCCGGCAGUACUCA